rnacentral:rRNA from 1 species
AGAGAUGCACUGGGUGUAAAGCGUGCGCAGGCGGUUUUGUAAGACAGAGGUGAAAUCCCCGGGCUCAACCUGGGAACUGCCUUUGUGACUGCAAGGCUGGAGUGCGGCAGAGGGGGGAUGGAAUUCCGCGUGUAGCAGUGAAAUGCGUAGAUAUGCGGAGGAACACCGAUGGCGAAGGCAAUCCCCCUAGGCCUGCACUGACGCUCAUGCACGAAAGUGUGGGGGAGCAAACA